UUAUUUUUCUUGUUUUCCUCCUCUAAAAACUAGGUGUGUCUUAUCGUCGGGUGCAUCUUAUAGAGCGAAAAUAUGGUAUUUGGAUCUCAUACUGAGCUCUUUCUCCUACCUCAAGAAAAGAUGCUAGAUAACCAGGGCUUUUUUUCCCCAGCCAGAACUCACCAGAACUCAGUUCUGGCACCUCUCAGGUGGGCACCAUGCCAUUAUAAAAGAAAAAGGGAGGCAUUUGUGGUGAGUUCCAGCAUCUCUUUUUCUAGAAAAAUAGAAAAAAUAGCACUGUGGAUAACUAUCACAAUAUCUUGUAACAGGAUUGUAAUUAUGUUCACGAUGCAUCCUUACAAGUAUUGGAAACAUUAGUUUACAUUAUGGCAUUUAUUUAACAUAAGGAAAUUAAAACGUGGGAAACAAUUCUGGUGACUUUUGGCCAAUAAUGUUGAUUUAGCAAUAAUCAAUCUCUAAGCUACAACAGAACUGGCCAUCUUAAUACUGGAAGACACAUCCAGGUAAUAGACUGAUCUAGCACAAGUCAGUUCAUAUACCUAACUUCUGAGCGUUUCAAAUUACAUACAGUAUUAACUAUUCCUCACUGCUUACCCCAGUGACCAUGUGUAUUUUGGGUUAAAACCGGGUUGGUUUUCUUAGCUGUCUGGGGACUUGCUUGUGUGCUUUACCAUGUCCUUGCUACAGUAGGCAGUCUGAAGGGGAGGAGUUGCUGCUCAGAGCAGGUGAGGCUGAAGGGAGGAGUGAGUCACUAACCUUCUAGGGAGUGGAUAUAUCAGCCACCACACAGCUGCUCUCAGUCUCCGGGAGCUCACAACCAGGAGAGUUUGGCAGGGCAUUUAGCUGAAGUGCUCGAGAGCGGACCCCAGAGAACUGCACCACAGUAUACAUGGCAGCAGAAAACAUGGAAGUUAACGGAGGUGUUGCCGUAACUUGCGGCACAUGUCUUAUGUUUGUUAUUCUGCCUGAGAAGGUACAGCGCUACAAAUGCAGCAGGUGUAAGCUAGUUACCUUGCUGGAAGACAAGCUACAACUGCUUGAAACCCAGAUAUCGCAAGUCAUCGAGGAAGAUAAAAAAGCACGGCAGACUAGUAUGGAAGAGCAGCAAAGUGAGGAUACCCCUAUGGAGGUAGAUGAGCACCAAAUGCAGAAGGCAAACCCUGGGGAUGUGAUGCCCAGUAGCGGAGCUGUCGGGAACCAGGCUGCUGCCCAGGUCAUUUCCAUGGAUGUGGAUCCUGUGCCACAGCAACAAAGUCAGCCAUUGCAGAACUCGGUGAUUGGACAAGGUUCAGCGAACAGAAGGAUUCAUGCCACUUCCCGGAAGAUGAACCAUUGCUUUUUUGCAGCCAUGACUCGCCAGAAGACGCUUCCAAGAUAAUAAGAGCACAAGGGAGGUGUUGGUGGUAAGUUCUGGCACUUCUUUUUCUAGAAAAAUAGCACUGGGAGAAAGAGACGUAUGGCGGCUUUAGGUGGCUGUGUGGUGAGGGGGGGCAGAGGGAGCUGUGUGUAUAUGUGACAGAAUGUCCUGAAAGAUGUGCUGUUUUCCAGGUGCAAGGAUUCAAGAAGUGACAAAGAAGUUGUCAAGUCUUAUCAAGCCCACCAACCACAACCCCUUCCUUCUGAUCCAUGUGUGUAGAAAUGAUACUGCCAGACAUCGAUACAACCUACAAUGUACAGCAUGGGACUAUGAGACGCUAGGUAUGAAACUGAAGGGCUUGGGGGGGUGGAAGAGGAAAAUAUUGGAAGUACACAACUGGCUGCGCAGGUGGUGUUGUCAGGAAAGGUUUGGCUUCUUGGGCCAUGUUCUCCACUUCCAGGGAGGAGGUGGACUGCACCUCGCAGCGGCUGGGAAGAAUGUGUUUGCAAACCUUAUCAGAAUAACUUUAAACUGAGUCCUGAAGAGGAGAGAGACAAUAUUUCAGAGUGUGGGAGUGGGGGCAGGACACAAAAUACUGGGG